GGCCGUCCCUUGCUUCCUGCGGAAAACAUCGAAAGGCGUCACCCCGCUAAAGGCGUCCGAUGGAGAGUAGAAUCACCGUGCCUCUUCAGAUCCACCAUCAUCACUAACCUCCGCCAUUUAUUACCUUUUCAAAGCAUAAACCGACAACAUCACCUAUCACUCUUCGGCUCUCCUCGCCAAUUAUAUAUUGAUCACUCUAUAGAUCUUUCACCGAAAAGUUUCCAGCGACACAGCUAGCAAGCUCUGAGUUUGAUAAAACCGUUGGCGCCAAACUCUUCGAGCAUCAUACUCACCUCUUCCUGACUCGGCGACGCUAGAUCUCUUAUGGAAACAAAGUUGUUGUCGUCUCGAUCGAUUAACUUGGAACGCUUGAAUCAAAUGGAGUAAUAAUCGCACAAGUUCUUGGGAAGAACACUGAUUGGAGUGGCGGCUUGACUGCCUUGAGGUUACCAUACGAUCUGUCGGGGAAAUAGGAAGAAGCACCGAAGCUGAAACAAGAAGGUGCAGAUAUGGAGACAAAAGCUUUGGUUUUGGAGGAACGUGUUUUUAAUAAAAUGGUAUUUCUAUUACCCAUCAAGCUUUUGAAUGUAGAUUUUUACAUGGAACAGUAAUGGUGUCCCCUUAGAUUCGUAAGGUCUCGAAAUCUUGGUUAUGUCAACAAUCAAAGAAGGGAAUAAGAUUGGGCACAAACACAUUGGUUGUGCUUCGGUAUACAGUCACGAGAAAGAGGCAGCGUAUUGAAGAAGUUAAUAGAUGAUGGUUUCGUGAAGCCUGAAGCGUGAGGAGUUAUUCAUCACUUGGAAACUCUGUAGCAACAAGUGUUUUAUGAAUAAUUUCACGGGAAACAUCAAGUGAGAUCGAGAUCGUGGGAGUCAACAACCCUACUAUGUCAAAGAGUGAGCAUCUAAGAAAUGUUUUGCCUAGACUAUGUAUUAUGUAAUUAGGUUGCAUCAGUACUCAUUGUUGUAUCAAUUAGUUAAGUUUACGGUUUAUCAUGUGUGUAUGAGAAAAUACACAUAACUAGCCUAUCAAUCAUUACAUCACUAUGAAUUCUCAUAUAUAUAAUUGGGGUCUGUUAUUAAUCUUCAGAUCUGUUGGCACUGGUGAUAUUUUUUUUAAGUAAGGAUGAGGUAGAUCUACAUGGUAUGAGUUAAAUAUUCGAUUAUGAUAAUGUGAAAAUAGUUUUGGGAAGUAGAUGGUGUGAUUUUCAGUUGAGAAAAGCAAGAAUUUGUAACCAUGGCAAAUUAAAUGAAAGGAAUACUGACGAUCGAUGGUAUGAGGAAGUGGAGCGAAUAAAUAUUCGAAAAGGGAAGGCGAGGAUGAGAACCUUAAUUAAAAGAGAAUAUGUAAACUUUAUGUUGG